rnacentral:tRNA from 1 species
GGGCGGAUGUAGCCAAG